rnacentral:rRNA from 1 species
AUUGAACGCUGGCGGCAUGCUUUACACAUGCAAGUCGAGCGGCAGCACGGGGGCAACCCUGGUGGCGAGCGGCGAACGGGUGAGUAAUACAUCGGAACAUGCCCAGUCGUGGGGGAUAACACUUCGAAAGAAGUGCUAAUACCGCAUACGUCCUGAGGGGGAAAGCGGGGGAUCGCAAGACCUCGCGCGAUUGGAGUGGCCGAUGUCAGAUUAGCUAGUUGGUGGGGUAAAGGCCUACCAAGGCAACGAUCUGUAGCUGGUCUGAGAGGAUGAUCAGCCACACUGGGACUGAGACACGGCCCAGACUCCUACGGGAGGCAGCAGUGGGGAAUUUUGGACAAUGGGGGCAACCCCGAUCCAGCCAUUCCGCGUGAGUGAAGAAGGCCUUCGGGUUGUAAAGCUCUUUCGGCAGGAACGAAACGGUGAGCUCUAACAUAGCUUGCUAAUGACGGUACCUGAAGAAGAAGCACCGGCUAACUACGUG